rnacentral:lncRNA from 1 species
GGAAACACUAAGGUAUGUAAUGUAUGUAUGUAUGUAUAUAUGUGUUCAAAGAAUUGCUUCUUUGCUUACAUUAAAGCUUAUUUCGUUUCACAGGCAUCACCUUCGCUGAGAAUAUUCACUUUAUUUUAUGAAAUGCGUACGUGUUGGAAUCUGUGUAUUUGUCUGUAUAAAACAAUUUAAAUAAAAACUUUGUAUCAUCGCUGAUAUUCUCCGACUGGUAGGAGAUAGAGCUGGGUUGCGGGUUAAAUCCGCCCCGCUUGACCCGCCAACCCGCGGGUUGAGUGAUUUUUUUAACCCAAAAAAUAUGACCCGUUUAACCCGCACCCGCCUCGCUUAAACCCGCGGGUAAUCCGCUAGAUCCGCGGAUAAUAUUAAUAAUAA